AGGAUUAACGCUGGCGGCGUGCCUAACACAUGCAAGUCGAACGCGCUUUCGGGCUUCGGUGCGAGAGCGAGUGGCGGACGGGUGAGUAACACAUGGGUACCUGCCUUUCAGUGAGGGAUACCGGCGAGAAAUCGCCGACAAUACCGCAUGGGCUUGUGGGAACACAAGCAAAGUGGCGCAAGCCACGCUGGAAGAUGGGCCUGUGGCCGAUUAGCUAGUUGGGGGGUAACGGCCUCCCAAGGCGACGAUCGGUAGCUGGUCUGAGAGGACGAUCAGCCACACUGGGAUUGAGAACGGCCCAGACUCCUACGGGGGGCAGCAGUGAGGAAUUUUCCGCAAUGGACGAAAGUCUGACGGAGCAACGCCGCGUGCAGGAGGAAGGUUUUCGGAUCGUAAACUGCUUUUCUCGGGGACGAGCAAGGACGGUACCCGAGGAAGAAGCCCCGGCUAACUACGUGCCAGCAGCCGC
rnacentral:rRNA from 1 species